GACGAACGCUGGCGGCGUGCUUAACACAUGCAAGUCGAACGAUGACGACCGAGCUUGCUCGGUCUGAUUAGUGGCGAACGGGUGAGUAACACGUGAGCAACCUGCCCUUCACUCUGGGAUAACCUCGGGAAAUCGGGGCUAAUACCGGAUAUGAGCUCCUGUCGCAUGGCGGGUGUUGGAAAGUUUUUCGGUGAAGGAUGGGCUCGCGGCCUAUCAGUUUGUUGGUGAGGUAGUGGCUCACCAAGGCGAUGACGGGUAGCCGGCCUGGGAGGGCGACCGGCCACACUGGGACUGAGACACGGCCCAGACUCCUACGGGAGGCAGCAGUGGGGAAUAUUGCACAAUGGGCGAAAGCCUGAUGCAGCGACGCCGCGUGAGGGAUGACGGCCUUCGGGUUGUAAACCUCUUUCAGCAGGGAAGAAGCGAAAGUGACGGUACCUGCAGAAGAAGCGCCGGCUAACUACGUG
rnacentral:rRNA from 1 species